GUAAGGAAUAUUGGUCAAUGGACGAAAGUCUGAACCAGCCAUGCCGCGUGGAGGAUGAAGGUCCUCUGGAUUGUAAACUUCUUUUAUAUGGGACGAAAAAAGGCUUUUCUAAGUCGUCUGACGGUACCAUAUGAAUAAGCACCGGCUAACUCCGUGCCAGCAGCCGCGGUAAUACGGAGGGUGCAAGCGUUAUCCGGAUUCACUGGGUUUAAAGGGUACGUAGGUGGAUUGCCAAGUCCGUGGUGAAAUCUUCGAGCUUAACUCGGAAACUGCCAUGGAUACUGGUGAUCUUGAAUAUCGUGGAGGUUAGCGGAAUAUGUCAUGUAGCGGUGAAAUGCUUAGAUAUGACAUAGAACACCAAUUGCGAAGGCAGGUGGCUGUACCUUAAUCGACGCUGAUGCACGAAAGCAUGGGGAGCAAACAGGAUUAGAUACCCGAGUAGUCC
rnacentral:rRNA from 1 species